rnacentral:lncRNA from 1 species
GUUUACAGGGCAACUUUCAUUAGAAUGAAUAUAACAACAGCACCGAUUCCCGCUCCAGCAAUGGCACUAACUACCGAAGCCUCAUUAUUGAUAGAUAUAAUCCUAUCUCUUGAAUGAUCGUCACCGGUGUGAUCUGGCUUAUGUCCUGAAUGUCCAUCGAGAGUAUCAAGGUGAUCAACAGGUGUUGUGUCCCCAUGCACCUUCUUUGAAUGGUCACCUUUUUUUACACCAACAUAAUUAACCUUAGUAUUAACUCCGAACUUAACACUAGAGUCAGGUUUAAGUAGAAUAUUAUUGUACCCUGGAAUAGGAUCCUUUAAUAUUACCAGGUUUGACGGAAAUAGUAUAAUGCCGGGGUUUAUUGCUGUAUUGACUAUUACAUUCGUAUCUCUAAUCGCAAUUCUCAUGUUACUAAUUCCAGUCGCAAUAUCAGUCUGGGCUACAACAUCCUCUACAAGUCUACGGAAACCCUUCUGGGAAAGCAAAGAGGAAGUCCCACGGUUCACAAUAGCCCACCUAGUAUUAGCCUGAGCUCCAAGUACACAGUACACAUAACACUGAAGGCUUUCCUGUAUAAGGGAGGUGUCAACGAGACCUUUACUUUCAGUAGCAUAAUACCUCAUAUAGUCGUUAGCACCAGCGAGGGGAGAUACACCUGCAAGCUCAUCAUAGCUAAUCCCAACUAUUUGUCCCGAUGCAUUCUUUGCAUACCUAACAUUUCUAACAGUCCUAUGUUCAUUUUUAAACUUUCUGUAAACAAGUCCAAUAGAUGCCCUACUACUCAGGAACUUAUUGAUAUCCCACUUUCCCUUAACCGGG